rnacentral:lncRNA from 1 species
GAAUCCCUUGUUUUGUGGGGUACCCCUGAGCUGGAGUUAACCAUAUAGACGAAGAUCUAUCCCUUAAGUUGCAGGGUAGUGUGCCUUUUAUGAAGCUAUUGCUACUUUCAGUCUUUCUUCUAAAUAAAUUUGAACACAAUCUCAAAGUUUUGGCACUCCUACAAAAGGAACUUCUUCAAUACUAAUAUCAGUCUCAAAUUGAAAUUUCAAUUUCCAGGUAUCUAUGUCCCUAUAUGCAAUUUUGCAAGAUUAUUUGUUUGUUUUCCAUCACAGCAAACGUUUUUUUUUUCUUGAUUCACCAUGGAUUGUUAUGGUUUAUGUUUUUUCAUCCUUUUUUCAGUAACCAUUCUCUGUGUAUUGAUUUUCUUACCACCAUUUUCACCAAAGGAGGAAAAUAUUCCAAACAUUGAAAGUAUCCUACUCAAUAACAUUAUAGGUGUUUUCAUCCAAAAAUUUAUAUUUAUUAUCAAGGAAAUAAAGAAUGAAUUUUUUUUUUCCUUUAGCGGUGAGCUCAAGUUAUUCUAAAAUGGAGCUUAGAAAAUUAAUUUGGAGAAAAAAAAAAUGCUUCUUUGAACCAAACCUAAAACAAUAUUGUUUUGAAGUUAUAUGAACUCUUGAGUAUGAAGUUUUCAUGACUACUGUAAGCUGUGUGUAGCUAAUAAAAGCAAUCUUAUGAUUGUUUGAUUUUUGUAGAGAGAUAUUGAUGGUGCAGAUAAAAUACUGUAUAUUUUUUAAGUGAAUUUAUGUGGAAUCAGAAUUGGUAUUUAUUUAUCUUGAUCAUCUAGUUUUGGAUAAUAUUAAAUAAUGGAAGUAUGUGAAAAGCAUCUGGUUCCACCAAAAAGUGAUAAAAAUUACCAUGGUCCCACUUGAAAUAAUUUACUUGUAUUAAUUCAACGUAUUAGUUCUAAGUACAAAUAUUAAAACUUAGUUAUGUUCUUCUCUUGUGAAUAUUAAUAUUAAUCCAUUGAAUUUUAGAAAAUUCUAAUUAAAUGUCUAAAUUUAUAUGAAUGAAUGGUAGUAUGGAUUUCUUUGAUAUAUAUGUAUAUAUCAAUUCAAAUUAUUUAAGAUUAUGGAGUAUUUAAAUUUUCAGAUCAGAUUAAUUAACUGUUAUAUAAAAUAUUGUAAACUUUGUAAUAAUAAUAAUAAUACUUUGUAAAAAGGUAUUCAAAUUCAUUUGCUAAUUUAAAAUAAUAAUACUUUAAUCACAUUUAUUAUAUUUAAAAUGGCAUAAUUUUUUUGAAUGAGUACAUCAUUGUUUAUUGUAUUAUAUUUUCUGAAUCUUACUUUAGAUUUUGUCUUGUAUGUUACUUUGUUAUCAUGUGGUCUCUUGAAAGAAGAAGGAAAGGAGAUGGUGGUUGAAGAGAGUGAGAUGAAUUCCCAACAAGAUGGCAACAAGAACCACCAUUCUCAGUUCCCACCAUCGUCCAUUGGAAGACAGACAU